AUAAAAAUUGUAACUUUCCUUAAAAGAAAAAAACUCGGCAUUUUUUUUGAUAAACUUCACUUUGGUCUUAAUUUUACAUAAAUGAAUUUGCACAUUGCACAACCUUAUAGGCAUGCAUUUUUAAAUAUGUAAGUUAUAGCCAACAAACCAGACAUAUUGAUAUCCCGCCAAGGUGCCAUUUUCUUAAUUUGGGAUUCAAUCUCCUACGAGCUUAUAUAUUUUACAACAUUAUUUCUGUCUGAAUUUUCACGAAACUUAAUUUAUUGAUUAGUUUUAUUAUUUAUAUAAAGUAAAAAUCCUGCAAUGAUUUUAUUAUUAAUUACUGUAAAUAAAACCUUGUUUGUUUAGUUAGAAAAUGAAAUUGUAAUAGCUUUACUGUUGAUAGAUGUAACAUUUAAAAAUGUCAUUUUUUAAGUUACAUUUUUUCUUUGUCUUGCUUUCAUUCUUUGUGUAUUGUAACAAUAUGUUUUUUUGCUUUGUUAAAGCAAUCCGUAUUUUGCAGAGCAAUGGCCUCGAACUGGGGCUAUCCCAUUAAACAGGUUGAAGUCAAGCUAAUUAACAUCGCAAAACACAGGGCAAUUGGAUCAGGAGUAAAAAAAUUGAUUGAGUCGAAUGUAAUUAUAAGAAGAAGGCUUAUGUUUAGACCAUUAAAUAAAACGGAGUUAAACCCUUUAUAUGAUGCGGACAGUGACAAUAGUGUAGAACAGAUUUCCGGAAGUGAAGAACCGGUUUCUCCAGAUAACUCGGAAACAAGAACCAAAAGUAAUGCGCCAGUUUCUCUAGAUAACCCGGAAACAAGAACCGGAAGUAAUGCGCCAGUUUCUCUAGAUAACCCGGAAACAAGAUUAGGAUCAGCCAAAUAUGAUGACACAUAUAGUUCGUGCAGUGAUUCGGAAAUAAUGGAGAUAUUUCAACGAAGUAAUGAGGAGAGGAAAAAAAGGAGGAAAGUAUGGGAGGAAAGGAAAAAGAUUAAAAAGAGGAAAUAUGAAGAAAUUCAAAUAUCAGAUUCUGAAUCCGACUGCGAGGUUUUAGCUAAAUCAAACCUGUCGAUAUCUCCUCCAUGCUCAAACUCUAGUCGACGAUCAUCCUCCUCUCUCCAGGUUCUCGAGGAUAGAGUCUCUGCCUCCAAACCUAAUGAGCGAUCCUCCUCUCUCCAGGUUCUCGAGGAUAGAGUCUCGGCCUCCAAACCUGAUGAGCAAUCCUCCUCUCCCCAGGUUCUCAAAUAUAGAAGUUCGGUCUCAAAACCUGUUAACCAAUCCUCUUUCUCUCUCCAGGUUCUCGAGGAUAGAGUCUUAGCCUCAAAAUCUGAGCAGCAGGAUUGUUUGAACUUGAUGUCUCGCAAGUUCUCCAAUUUACCGGUAAAUCGAAAGCAUAGAUCCCAACCUAGCUCCAGCUCUCAAACUAACUCAAAACAAAUGAUGUUUACUAAAAAGAAUCUCGACCAUACUUUCGAUACUGAUACUGGUGAUGAGGAGGAGUUUCAAAGAAAAGAAUUCGAAAGGAACUCGGCUUUUAAACUUAAAAAGCUUCGCAUAGAUAUCAAGGAGGAGCAUCCAUUUUUACGAAGUAUGAAACCAUCCCGAGUACAUUUAAAAUCAUCCAGAGCAAAUAUAAGACGACUUUUCUACACUCAGAAGAAGAAUCUUGAUGAACCAAUUGUAUUUAGAAGUUUAUUUUCUCUAGGACUGGUGUGCCCUCACUGUGAUCUAAGAUUAGAGACGAAUGAGAGUCUCAAGUUUGCGGAGCAUGUACAAUACUGUAAAUAUUUAUCAACGCACGAUACAAUUGAUGAUGAUGUUCUGAUAAUGUCUCAUGAGAUCGAUGUUGAUGUACGGAUCGAAGAAGUUGAGAUUCCGGAGGAAACUAGGACUUGCCCCAAAUGUAAUGAGGAGGUGCCUAUAAGUAUGGUUGAUUCUCAUGCUUGGUUCCAUCGACCCUAUCCCUGCUCUGUCUGCUUCCAUAGAUAUAUUAAGAAGACGGAUACUGAAGAUCACAUAAUCAACGAUCAUGCGACGCACUUCAUGUCCAAUCUGAUCCCGUUCUGGAGAUCUGAAGAAGCAUUGAAGGUUGGACCAGGUUUGCCGCAGGUACCAGUUCCUCCCACCAGUAAUCCUGGAAUUCCACAGGGUGCUGUCCAGGCACUAAUUCGUGAGGCGGAUGGUAGCAGCAAGACAAUUUACAUUGCUCAGAUACCACCUGGGACUAUUCUACCAGGAAACCCAACUCAGAUAGUCAUUAACAACCAUAACUAUCAGAUAUUGAAUACUGUUGGUGGGCAUCAGAGUUUAGGAACUCCAAUGCCUUGUAUGCCUCUGCCUCAGCAACCCCUACCUAGAGAGAACCUUAUCCGGGGUUCAUCAAAUCAUCGUCUUCCUUUAAACACGCCGCAGCAGUAUAUUCAACCACGGAACCAUCAACCCCUACCGAGGCCUAGUUUCUCUCCCCGGAACUGUAUUCUACCCAAAUCUAGACCAGUUCUUCCAUGGAGAUUCCCUACUGGAGCUGCAACCCAGUUCCGACCUAGAUCCUUCAACCCAAUGAUCCGGUCUAGGAGACCAACUAUGUUCAUACCAUCAAUGCAAGGAAUGAAGCUUGAUGAAGAUGGAGCUCCAAUACAAGAGUCAGAUCCUUUAUCCUUUGAUGAAACUCAGCAAGAGGACCCGCUAGCCAUUUAAUCAUAUUUUAGUGUUUGUAAUUAGCAUUUUUUAAUACUUCUUCAUUUGAAUAGAUUACGUGGUAGAAAUCGUACAGGAAACAGUAAGAAAAUACUUGAAAUAAGCAACAAAUAAUAAUGUGGAAGUAGCAUAUCAAAUACUUACCUUUUCGUUUCUCAAAAUAAAUAAACUUGUAAUAAUUUCGUUACACCAAAAAUUAGCUUCCAAUCUUUUGGAUGCUGUGGAAAACAAACUAAACUUUAACGGUAUUUCAAAUUGUCUAAAUGGACUAUCAAGUUAUUAACGCAUUGUUCUCAGUUCAUAAUUAUC